CACCACCACUCCUGCAGCAGCUGUCACCACCACCGCUCCUGCAGCAGCUGUCACCACCACCACUACCACCCCUGCAGCAGCUGUCACCACCACCACCGCCGCCCCUGCAGCAGGUGGCACCACCAUCAGUGCUGGGUCAUCAACCACAUCAGGAAGUGCUCCCCGACCCACUUCCUUCUCUCUGGCUGCCUUGCCUCUCAGUUUGGCUCUGUUAAUGGUUCAGCUGCUGGCUAGCUAAUAGCCUGGGACAUAGCGCUGUGGCUCUGCUAGCUACUAGGCUAGCUAAUAGCCUGGGGCAUAGCUGCUGUGGCUCUGAUAGCUGCUGGCUAACCAAUAGCCUGGGGCAUAGCAGCUGUGGCAUUGGUUUAACCAAUCAACAGUUUCCCAGCUCUCAUAGAUACAGCCUUAAAGCUAGAAUCCUUAGUUGCUACACACAUUUUUUUACUUAUAAAUUAAUUAUAUCUACCCAUUGAUUCUAGAAGAAUAUAACAUAUGAAUACCUCAUGAGUCUGUCGUACCCCAUCAGAACCCAAAAUAUAAGCUUGUUUUACCCCAAUGUUUCUAAACAAUGCAAACAAACACUGUACAGCUUUAAAACAUGAUUAAAACUAUAAUUCUGA